rnacentral:rRNA from 1 species
UGGGGAAUAUUGCACAAUGGGCGCAAGCCUGAUGCAGCCAUGCCGCGUGUAUGAAGAAGGCCUUCGGGUUGUAAAGUACUUUCAGCGGGGAGGAAGGGAGUAAAGUUAAUACCUUUGCUCAUUGACGUUACCCGCAGAAGAAUCACCGGCUAACUCCGUGCCAGCAGCCGCGGUAAUACGGAGGGUGCAAGCGUUCAUCGGAAUUACUGGGCGUAAAGCGCUCGCAGGCUGUUUGUUAAGUCAGAUGUGAAAUCCCCGGGUUCAACCUGGGAACUGCAUCUGAUACUGGAAAGGUUGAAUGGCGUAGAGGGGGGUAGAAUUCCAGGUGUAACGGUGAAAUGCGUAGAGAUCUGGAGGAAUACCGGUGGCGAAGGCGGCCCCUGGACGAAGACUGACGCUCAGGUGCGAAAGCGUGGGGAGCAAACAGG